CAGGGAGACAAACAACGAUUUUGAUGUCUGAGUUAUUUAUUCUUAGGCCGAAAUCCUGUCACCUUAGGUCGAUCGGUACCUCAACUUUGAAGCUAAGAGUUCCAGCAAUGGAUUUCUGCUUAGUGGAGAUUUUUAGUUCCUAAACUUUGUCUAGUUCACAACCCAUUAGGGAUGAGACUCCUGGGCCAUUAGCUCAGGUGGUUAGAGCGCACCCCUGAUAAGGGUGAGGUCCCUGGUUCAAGUCCAGGAUGGCCCAUUCGGUGUAGGGGGUUUAGCUCAGUUGGUAGAGCGCCUGCUUUGCAAGCAGGAUGUCAGGAGUUCGAGUCUCCUAACCUCCACUGACUGCAAAGAAUCCCCAUCUCCAAAACCUGGAGUAUGAACUCGUAUGGAUUGUGAUUUAGAUGUGUCCGCUAGAUGACCCUAGCUUCUUGUCAUUUUAAGGUGUGGAAAUUAUUCCAUGAUUUGAUUGAUAGGAU
rnacentral:tRNA from 1 species